rnacentral:rRNA from 1 species
AAUGGCGAAGGCAGGACUCUGGGCCAUUACUGACACUGAGGAGCGAAAGCUUGGGGAGCGAACAGGAUUAGAUACCCUGGUAGUCCACGCCGUAAACGGUGGGCACUAGUUGUGGGGACCUUCCACGGUCUCUGCGACGCAGCUAACGCAUUAAGUGCCCCGCCUGGGGAGUACGAUCGCAAGAUUAAAACUCAAAGGAAUUGACGGGGCCCCGCACAAGCAGCGGAGCAUGCGGCUUAAUUCGACGCAACGCGAAGAACCUUACCAAGGCUUGACAUAUACAGGAAUAUGGCAGAGAUGUCAUAGCCGCAAGGUCUGUAUACAGGUGGUGCAUGGUUGUCGUCAGCUCGUGUCGUGAGAUGUUGGGUUAAGUCCCGCAACGAGCGCAACCCUCGUUCUGUGUUGCCAGCAUUUAGUUGGGGACUCACAGGAGACUGCCGGGGUUAACUCGGAGGAAGGUGGGGAUGACGUCAAAUCAUCAUGCCCCUUAUGUCUUGGGCUGCACGCAUGCUACAAUGGCUGGUACAAACGGCUGCAAUACCGCAAGGUGGAGCGAAUCCGAGAAAGCCAGUCUCAGUUCGGAUUGGGGUCUGCAACUCGACCCCAUGAAGUCGGAGUUGCUAGUAAUCGUAGAUCAGCAACGCUACGGUGAAUACGUUCCCGGGGCUUGUACACACCGCCCGUCACGUCACGAAAGUCGGUAACACCCGAAGUCAGUGGCCCAACCGCAAGGAGGGA